rnacentral:rRNA from 1 species
UGACGAACGGGUGAGUAACACGUGGGUGAUCUGCCCUGCACUUCGGGAUAAGCCUGGGAAACUGGGUCUAAUACCGGAUAGGACGAUGGUUUGGAUGCCAUUGUGGAAAGUUUUCGGUGUGGGAUGAGCUCGCGGCCUAUCAGCUUGUUGGUGGGGUAAUGGCCUACCAAGGCGUCGACGGGUAGCCGGCCUGAGAGGGUGUACGGCCACAUUGGGACUGAGAUACGGCCCAG